rnacentral:rRNA from 1 species
AAUUAACCCUCACUAAAGAGAGUUUGAUCCUGGCUCAGAUUGAACGCUGGCGGAAUGCUUUACACAUGCAAGUCGAGCGGCAGCGCGGGGGCAACCUGGCGGCGAGCGGCGAACGGGUGAGUAAUGCAUCGGAACAUGUCCAUGUCGUGGGGGAUAGCCCGGCGAAAGCSAAUUUAAUACCGCAUAAGCCCGAGAGGGGAAAGUGGGGGACCGCAAGGCCUCACGCGAUUGGGUUGGCCGAUGUCCGAUUAGCUAGUUGGCAGGGUAAGGAGCCCACCAAGGCGAUGAUCGGUAGCUGGUCUGAGAAGGAUGAUCAGCCACAMUGGGACUGAGACAMGGCCCAGACUYCUACGGGAGGCAGCAGUGGGGAAAUUUUGGACAAAUGGGGGCAACCCUGKAUCCAGCCAUUCCGCGUGAGUGAAGAAGGCCUUCGGGUUGUAAAGCUCUUUUGUCCGGAACGAAACGGUUGGCGUGAAUAUCGCCGACUACUGACGGUACCSGAAGAAUAAGCACCSGCUAACUACGUGCCAGCAGCCGCGGUAAUACGUAGGGUGCGAGCGUUAAUCGGAAUUACUKGGCGUAAAGCGUGCGCAGGCGGGUUUUGUAAGCCAGAUGUGAAAUCCCCGGGCUUAACCUGGGAAUGGCAUUUGGGACUGCAAGGSUGGAGUGUGGCAGAGGAGACUGUAAUUCCGGUGUAGCAGUGAAAUGCGUAGAUAUCGRGAGGDAUACSAUGKCGGA